UACGUAGGGGGCAAGCGUUGUCCGGAUUUACUGGGCGUAAAGAGCGCGUAGGCGGAAAUUUAAGCGUGGCCUGAAAGCCCCCGGCUCAACCGGGGAGUGCGGCUGCGAACUGGGUUUCUUGAGGACGAUAGAGGAGAGUGGAAUUCCUGGUGUAGAGGUGAAAUUCGUAGAUAUUCGGAAGAACACCAGUGGCGAAGGCGACUUACUGGACGAUUGUUGACGCUGAGGUGCGAAAGCGUGGGGAGCAAACAGG
rnacentral:rRNA from 1 species